ensembl:lncRNA
AGUUGAACUCAGAGCCUUUGACGGACGGACAGAGGACACUAAAACACUGCCAAGUGUUUUAACACAGGCGAUAGCGACUUCACCGCCGCUUUCGCAAUCGCAGUCUUUGCUUUGGAGCGCUCCCAGGUGUCAGUCACCUGAAACAGUCGCUGCGGUGAAAUGUGUGUAGAGAGGAGUCCCCACCUGCUGGCAGCCCUAAAACAAAGCAGCAAGGAGGAUCUGCAGCUUCCGGGUGUUGGACUUGGACUUUAAACCUUUAGCACCUCCCAGUGGUAGAAUGAAGAAACACACACUGUCACUUGCCCCUCAUGUGUCGCCAGUCGAAUCGUCUGCCCUGGUCCCUGAUUGUGUCCAACUGUUUCCCAUUGCCCUCAUGUGUCUUAUAGUCUGCGGCUCCCUUUCCCCGGUGCUGGAGGGUACCGACCAUUCACCUACCGGGGCCCGUCGCCUUAGACUCGGUGGCCCUCGGCCUGG